AUUUCCCAGAAGCCCCUUGGGCAGUGUUGCCUGGACCCCAAGGGCCCUUUACAUUGCGUUCUUAACGGUUCAGUCACCUUAACCGUUAUUAUUCACUUGCGGGCGAGAAGUCCGAGCUAGGGAUCCUGAAAAGGAGGGAACAAUUGUUGUAGCAGGUCUAAAAGUUCAGGUCCAGGAAAUGGAAACAUUGCUUUGCUUUUCCUGAAUUGUCCAGUGACCUAUCCCAGGCCUUCCUUUCCAGUGAACAAUGGACCAUGCAGAGUCUCGUUCUGUUGCCCAGGCUGGAGUGCAGUGAUGUGAUCUUGGCUUACUGCAACCUCCAUCUCCCAGGUUCAAGAAAUUCUCCUGCCUCAGCCUCCCGAGUAGCUGGGAUUACAGGCGCCUGCUACCACGCCCAGCUAAUUUUUUGUAUUUUUAAUAGAGAUGGGGUUUCGCCAUGUUGGCCAAGCUGGUCUCAAACUCCUGACCUCAGGUGAUCCACCCACCUCGG
rnacentral:lncRNA from 10 species